AAAUUGAAGAGUUUGAUCAUGGCUCAGAUUGAACGCUGGCGGCAGGCCUAACACAUGCAAGUCGAACGGUAACAGGAAUCAGCUUGCUGAUUUGCUGACGAGUGGCGGACGGGUGAGUAAUGUCUGGGAAACUGCCUGAUGGAGGGGGAUAACUACUGGAAACGGUAGCUAAUACCGCAUAACGUCG
rnacentral:rRNA from 1 species